CUUGCUUCUCUUGAGAGCGGCGGACGGGUGAGUAAUGCCUAGGAAUCUGCCUGGUAGUGGGGGAUAACGUCCGGAAACGGACGCUAAUACCGCAUACGUCCUACGGGAGAAAGCAGGGGACCUUCGGGCCUUGCGCUAUCAGAUGAGCCUAGGUCGGAUUAGCUAGUUGGUGGGGUAAUGGCUCACCAAGGCGACGAUCCGUAACUGGUCUGAGAGGAUGAUCAGUCACACUGGAACUGAGACACGGUCCAGACUCCUACGGGAGGCAGCAGUGGGGAAUAUUGGACAAUGGGCGAAAGCCUGAUCCAGCCAUGCCGCGUGUGUGAAGAAGGUCUUCGGAUUGUAAAGCACUUUAAGUUGGGAGGAAGGGCAGUAAAUUAAUACUUUGCUGUUUUGACGUUACCGACAGAAUAAGCACCGGCUAACUCUGUGCCAGCAGCCGCGGUAAUACAGAGGGUGCAAGCGUUAAUCGGAAUUACUGGGCGUAAAGCGCGCGUAGGUGGUUCGUUAAGUUGGAUGUGAAAUCCCCGGGCUCAACCUGGGAACUGCAUUCAAAACUGACGAGCUAGAGUAUGGUAGAGGGUGGUGGAAUUUCCUGUGUAGCGGUGAAAUGCGUAGAUAUAGGAAGGAACACCAGUGGCGAAGGCGACCACCUGGACUGAUACUGACACUGAGGUGCGAAAGCGUGGGGAGCAAACAGGAU
rnacentral:rRNA from 1 species